rnacentral:rRNA from 1 species
GACGAACGCUGGCGGCGUGCUUAACACAUGCAAGUCGAACGGUGAAAGGGAGCUUGCUCCCUGGAUCAGUGGCGAACGGGUGAGUAACACGUGGGCAACCUGCCCCAGACUUCGGGAUAACGCUUCGAAAGAGGUGCUAAUACCGGAUACGAACUCCUUGGGCAUCCUUGGAGUUGGAAAGUUUUUCGGUCUGGGAUGGGCCCGCGGCCUAUCAGCUUGUUGGUGAGGUAACGGCUCACCAAGGCGACGACGGGUAGCCGGCCUGAGAGGGCGACCGGCCACACUGGGACUGAGACACGGCCCAGACUCCUACGGGAGGCAGCAGUGGGGAAUAUUGCACAAUGGGCGCAAGCCUGAUGCAGCGACGCCGCGUGAGGGAUGACGGCCUUCGGGUUGUAAACCUCUUUCAGCACCGACGAAGCGCAAGUGACGGUAGGUGCAGAAGAAGGACCGGCCAACUACGUGCCAGCCGCCGCGGUAA